ACUCUGGGAGACGUUUGAGACCGAGCGUCUCUAGAUCUCGUAUUUGAAUUUGUGGCGCUUGGUGUCCGCGAGUUGCCGAAUGAAGCUGAGCGUCUCAGUGGAACCAGGGAUCUCAGGGAUACAGAUAAGCUGAUUCUAAAACCUACAAGAAUGGCAAAGAAACAAGAAGAGCUUAAACUGUGAAGACUGAAGCCCUAGGCUAUGGCAGAAGUUGGGCGCCUGAAGUACACAUGGAAAUAUGCCAACUGAACAUUGGACUAUCACGUCAAGGGUCUCCUACCCUUGGGCCAUGGAUCAAUACCAGUCUGUGACCUGUUAGGAACCGGUAGCAGGAGGUGAGUAGCAGCCUAGCGAGCACUACUGCCUAAGCUCCACCUCCUGUCAGAUCAGUAGUGACAUGAGAUUUUCAUAGGAGCAGAAACCCUAUUGUGAACUCCAAACACAAGGAAUCUAGGUUAUGCACUACUUAUGAGAAUCUAAUGCCUGAUGAUCUGAGGUGGAACAGUUUCAUCCUGAAACCACCGCCCCCAUGUGUGGAAAAACUGUCUUCCACAAAACUGGUCCCUGGUACCAAAAAGGUCAGGGACCACUGCUGUAGGUAAACCUGCACUGGUACAAAAUGACAGAAAUAUACACAGUCAUUUAUUAUAGCAUUGUUAUAUUGUUAUAUUGUUAUUAUAGCAUUGUUGCAUGAAUACAGGAUUGGAAAUAAAUCAAGGAUCUAGUAAUAAGGGACUGGUUGAAUAAACC
rnacentral:lncRNA from 1 species